rnacentral:rRNA from 1 species
CCGGUAAACGGCGGCCGUAACUAUAACGGUCCUAAGGUAGCGAAAUUCCUUGUCGGGUAAGUUCCGACCUGCACGAAUGGCGUAAUGAUGGCCAGGCUGUCUCCACCCGAGACUCAGUGAAAUUGAACUCGCUGUGAAGAUGCAGUGUACCCGCGGCAAGACGGAAAGACCCCGUGAACCUUUACUAUAGCUUGACACUGAACAUUGAGCCUUGAUGUGUAGGAUAGGUGGGAGGCUUUGAAGUGUGGACGCCAGUCUGCAUGGAGCCGGCCUUGAAAUACCACCCUUUAAUGUUUGAUGUUCUAACGUUGGCCCCUGACCGGGGUUGCGGACAGUGUCUGGUGGGUAGUUUGACUGGGGCGGUCUCCUCCUAAAGAGUAACGGAGGAGCACGAAGGUUGGCUAAUCCUGGUCGGACAUCAGGAGGUUAGUGCAAUGGCAUAAGCCAGCUUGACUGCGAGCGUGACGGCGCGAGCAGGUGCGAAAGCAGGUCAUAGUGAUCCGGUGGUUCUGAAUGGAAGGGCCAUCGCUCAACGGAUAAAAGGUACUCCGGGGAUAACAGGCUGAUACCGCCCAAGAGUUCAUAUCGACGGCGGUGUUUGGCACCUCGAUGUCGGCUCAUCACAUCCUGGGGCUGAAGUAGGUCCCAAGGGUAUGGCUGUUCGCCAUUUAAAGUGGUACGCGAGCUGGGUUUAGAACGUCGUGAGACAGUUCGGUCCCUAUCUGCCGUGGGCGCUGGAGAACUGAGGGGGGCUGCUCCUAGUACGAGAGGACCGGAGUGGACGCAUCACUGGUGUUCGGGUUGUCAUGCCAAUGGCACUGCCCGGUAGCUAAAUGCGGAAGAGAUAAGUGCUGAAA